GAUGGGAUAGCCUCAACAAACAUUACAUUUUUACAUACAUAACAGAGGUACGAUUUAUUAAACCAUAGAUUGAAGAAACUUAACAGUGCAAGUUAAACCAUUGCUCAGAGUUUAGAAUAUGAAACAGUCCGGGGUAAGUAAUUAAACAUCUAAGUCUAUUCUAGGGUAUCAUGAGACUCGUAAGAUACCCUAGUUCUUGGUGCUUCCUCCUCGGUGCGUCCCUGCUGGGUUUCUAAAAACAACAACAAAGGAUCCCUUGAGUACGAAGUACUCAGCAAGUAUCACCUGUCUAACCAAUAUAAAUAAUUUUGACACCCUGUAUGAUAGCUUUAUGGUGUACUGGCUGACUCACAUUUUGCAGAAAGAGCUUACUAUAAGUGAAACCUUAGUUUAAUCUUUUAUUUCAGAUUGAGUUUGUUACCUGAUCAGUCUAGAUGAUGAAAAAAUAUUUUAGCAACCAGAUGAAACUAAGUCAUACCACAUAUUUAUUCGAAAGCAACGGUUCCCUUCUCUUCGUUACACUACGGUGCUUAAGCAAUGAUCAAGUGCAUUCAUAUCCGAGAAUUGCGGCGAUCCGGACUGAUUUACAUCCUGCAGGAGAUACCCGACCACCAGCCAUGUACAACUGUCUGGGUUGCACAUAACGACCUUUCGAUUAGAUGUACCCAACGAUCGGAAAUAUGACUACUCGAACCCAGGGCUGCACCCCCACAUGGAACCCCAUGUCUGGCGAUCUCCACUGUGAGUUUCAGGCUACGCCCUGCCCUUCCACUACACCCCAAGCAUGGGUACAAAAUAUUUCCGAUCAGAGAGCCAACCAACCUACCGGGCUUGCUGGUUCCCAUAUAGCAGUAAGCAACCAGGUAAUAUCACUUGAUCAUGGGUUAAAACAACGAUCGGUCCUUAAUCAAAUUAAUCAAGUAGACGGAACUACGAAACUCAAGACUCCUUUCUUGAUUCCAUCCCAUCCUUCCG
rnacentral:lncRNA from 1 species